rnacentral:rRNA from 1 species
UACAGAGGUGGCAAGCGUUGUUCGGAAUUACUGGGCGUAAAGGGCGCGUAGGCGGUUCGUUAAGUCCUGUGUGAAAUCCCCCGGCUCAACUGGGGAACUGCACAGGAAACUAGCGGGCUUGAGUUCGGGAGAGGGAAGCGGAAUUCCGGGUGUAGCGGUGAAAUGCGUAGAUAUCCGGAGGAACACCGGUGGCGAAGGCGCUUCCUGGACCGACACUGACGCUGAGGCGCGAAAGCUAGGGAGCAACGGG